rnacentral:rRNA from 1 species
GGUGCCAGCAGCCGCGGUAAUUCCAGCUCCAAUAGCGUAUAUUAAAGUUGUUGCAGUUAAAAGCUCGUAGUUGAAUUUCGGGGUCAGUAGAUUGGUCGUGCCACUGGUAUGCACUGGUCUUACUGGCUCCUCCUUCCUGAUGAACCGUAAUGCCAUUAAUUUGGUGUUGCGGGGAAUUUGGACUGUUACUUUGAAAAAAUUAGAGUGUUUAAAGCAAGCUAACGCUUGAAUACAUUAGCAUGGAAUAAUGAAAUAGGACGUUCGAUCCUAUUUUGUUGGUUUCUAGGAUUGACGUAAUGAUUAAUAGGGAUAGUUGGGGGCAUUAGUAUUCAAUUGUCAGAGGUGAAAUUCUUGGAUUUAUUGAAGACUAACUACUGCGAAAGCAUUUGCCAAGGAUGUUUUCAUUAAUCAAGAACGAAAGUUAGGGGGAUCGAAGACGAUCAGAUACCGUCGUAGUCUUAACCAUAAACUAUGCCGACUAGGGAUCGGAUGAUGUUAAUUUUUUAAUGACUCAUUCGGCGCCUUACG